rnacentral:rRNA from 1 species
UACGUAGGGGGCUAGCGUUGUCCGGAAUCAUUGGGCGUAAAGCGCGCGUAGGCGGCCCGGUAAGUCCGCUGUAAAAGUCAAAGACUCAACCUUUGAAUGUCAGUGGAUACUGCCGGGCUAGAGUCCGGAAGAGGCGAGUGGAACUCCUGGUGUAGCGGUGGAAUGCGCAGAUAUCAGGAGGAACACCGAUGGCGAAGGCAGUGUUCUGGGCCAGUACUGACGCUGAGGAGCGAAAGCGUGGGGAGCGAACAGG